AGAGUUUGAUCCUGGCUCAGAACGAACGCUGGCGGCAGGCCUAACACAUGCAAGUCGAGCGCACCUUCGGGUGAGCGGCGGACAGGUUAGUAACGCGUGGGAACGUACCCUUUUCUACGGAAUAGCCUCGGGAAACUGAGAGUAAUACCGUAUAAGCCCUCCGGGGGAAAGAUUUAUCGGGAAAGGAUCGGCCCGCGUUAGAUUAGAUAGUUGGUGGGGUAAUGGCCUACCAAGUCUACGAUCUAUAGCUGGUUUUAGAGGACGAUCAGCAACACUGGGACUGAGACACGGCCCAGACUCCUACGGGAGGCAGCAGUGGGGAAUCUUAGACAAUGGGCGCAAGCCUGAUCUAGCCAUGCCGCGUGAGUGAUGAAGGCCUUAGGGUCGUAAAGCUCUUUCGCCAGGGAUGAUAAUGACAGUACCUGGUAAAGAAACCCCGGCUAACUCCGUGCCAGCAGCCGCGGUAAUACGGAGGGGGUUAGCGUUGUUCGGAAUUACUGGGCGUAAAGCGCACGUAGGCGGAUCAGAAAGUUGGGGGUGAAAUCCCAGGGCUCAACCCUGGAACUGCCUCCAAAACUCCUGGUCUUGAGUUCGAGAGAGGUGAGUGGAAUUCCGAGUGUAGAGGUGAAAUUCGUAGAUAUUCGGAGGAACACCAGUGGCGAAGGCGGCUCACUGGCUCGAUACUGACGCUGAGGUGCGAAAGUGUGGGGAGCAAACAGGAUUAGAUACCCUGGUAGU
rnacentral:rRNA from 1 species